rnacentral:rRNA from 1 species
GCUUAACACAUGCAAGUCGAACGAAAUAGUAGCAAUACUAUUUAGUGGCGGAAGGGUUAGUAAUACAUAGGUAACGUGCCUCUAACUUUGGAAUAACGAUUGGAAACGAUCGCUAAUACCAAAUGUGGUGUGGCUAGGCAUCUAGUCAACAUUAAAGUGGGGGAUCGCAAGACCUCGCGGUUAGAGAGCGGCCUAUGGGAUAUCAGCUAGUUGGUGAGGUAAGAGCUCACCAAGGCUAAGACGUCUAGGCGGAUUGAGAGAUUGACCGCCAACACUGGGACUGAGAACUGCCCAGACUCCUACGGGAGGCUGCAGUCGAGAAUCAUUCGCAAUGGGCGAAAGCCUGACGAUGCGACGCUGUGUGAGUGAUGAAGGCCCUCGGGUCGUAAAGCUCUUUCGCUUGGGAACAAGAGAAGCUGACUAAUAAUCGGCUAAUUUGAGGGUACCAGGUAAAGAAGCACCGGCUAACUCCGUGCCAGCAGCCGCGGUAAUAC